UUUUUUAUUCAUUUAUAAACCCAUCUGUUUCUCUGUUGGCGUACGUUUUUUUUCAAUCAGUGCAAUUCAGAUUGUUGAAUUUUUUUUUGUGAUCACUCGAAACAUUCUCCAACAGGCAAUCAAAUGGGUUUCUUUUUUUUUGCAUUUACAAUGGUAUGGCAAAAUUAAUACACCUUGAGUUUCAGUCUCUGAUUUAUUUUAGUUGUGGCUUUGGUUUUUAGUUAACUUAGCUUUAGUUCACCUAUUUGCUUUUGUCCAUAGCUUAUUUCUAUGUAGUAUUUGUUGAAUUUCCGCAAAACCUUUCUCCCUCCAACGAAGAAAAAGUGGAAAUCUUGAUUAGUGUUGCUAAUUCUUUUCGACUCAUAGUUCGAUUGAUUUCAUAUCAUUCCCUAGAUACAUAGUAUUUAAUUUAGAAAUUCUGAUUGAAAUGAGACUACUCACUCAAGAAAUUGGUCGUUUAUAACAUUUAUGUUGAAUUUUAAGACUCAAUUUUUCAGUUUCGAACGUAUUUACAAAAUUUCAACGAAUUCUUAUUGAAAAUUGAGCCUUUUUUUUUCGAUUUAUGGGAAAUUCAAAAUUUUAAUAAUUCAAUGAUAUGACACGCGUUACAAUCACUUUUUUAGGAUUACCUAACGCACUAGGCAGGUUUCAGCACUUUUAAGGUAAGAAGGGGGAGAACUGGUAUGGACUCGAAUGUUGCCCCUUACUGCCUUUCAGAAUUUCAAUGAUCACUCAUUGUCGAUAAUUUCCAGACACUUCUGGCAAACAUUCGAAGUCUUGAACGAUCGGAGACUGAGGUCUCGGUGUUGAGUUACUCCCGCUUGUUACAUUGUUUUAUUUUAUUCGAUAAUUUGAAGUCAGAAAAAAUUUUGCCAUACCGUUGUAAGUGUUGUUGUGUUGGGUUCUGUAGGAAGUAAAUCUAGCAAUUGAGUAUCUUGUCGAAUCCGAAUGUUUUUCUGGUAGAUUUGAAUUAUCAAUUUAUUAGAUAUUUAGGUAAUGCGUAAGUUGAUAAUUGUAGACAAACAUUCGGAAGUUCAUUCCAUUAACUGUAGAUGAAAUUGUUAGGUAUACAUUCCUCCAAAUAAUGUUGGCCUUCUAUUUCAUGUACCUUCCAAUUUUUCGGGUCUAACACUAAUUCAACUGUGCAUGCUUUCAUUUCAUAUUGUACAGUUUUAUUUCCUGGUUACAUACUUAUUUUAGUAUUUAACUAUUUUGUUUCGAAAUGUAUUUCCUCCAUCUCUGCAGAUUUGCAGACAUGGAGUUUUCAAAAUGGAGGUUUUUCCCUUGAAUAACCUACAUCGGUGUGCUCUAGUUGCAUGUGUUUACAUGGAAUGAGAAAAAUUUUGGGCGGGAUAGAUGUGAUGUGGUUGCAUGUGAAUCGAUUUUGGAAUUUUGGUGUUUAUCAAAAUUCCUCGAGUCGUCUUCAAUCGAGGACUUUUGGAUCUCGUAAAAUUUUAUGAGAUCCCCUCAAAUUUUUCUAGGCCUCUCAUGGAUCGUCCUGCUUCAAUAAUAAUUUAUAUUUUUGUAGCGGGUCGAUUUUGAUUCGUGAGAUGUGCCGAUUUUUUUUCAAACUCGCCUCACAUUUUGAGAAUUGCGACAUUUGUGGAUGUUUCCUUCUAUUACCUUGAUAUUUUCAAUGUAAUGUUUUCAAGGAAGCACCUCUACAAGUGAUCUGUCUCUCGAAAUGUUUUGGUCGGAACAUAUGAACUCUGAAACUAUUUUAUUUCCAGGUAAGUAUGAUGCGCGCAGAAGUCUAGACAGUUUCUUGACUUUUUUUGCUGACUGCGAUUGUAAUCAUCGAUUAUUUUGACGUUGAUUUUUUUCCUCCUCCCUUGUAACGAUAUUUUUUUAUCGUUACUGGUUUGGAGGGAAAUUCAACGAUGAAUUGACAUACGUUAUAAUUGACUACUCCGAAGACAAUUUCGAGUUUAUUGAUAACGUUUUUUGCUGGGGAAUAAUUCUGACAUUUCAUAAUUAUUCCAAUCUUUCGUAUUUCUUGAUAGGUUCAGCUUAUUUUCUACGUGUUACACCGUUCUACUAUUGCAAAAUACUUUGGAAUUUCGCGUUCUAUUCAUCAGCAAUUUUUAAGAUCGAAUUUGAUUUCAAAUUUGAUCUGUUUUUCAACAUUCUUCCUCGAACGAAGUACAGUGAUUCUAGGGGGCCAACAACUGACAGGAUUCACGUUUCAAAUCUCUCUGAAACAGCUUGUCACUUCUUGAAUGUUGCAUGCCAUAUUUUUGUACGUGCAGUGUUCUAGAAUGACAGCAUGUUUUUUAGGAGUUGCGGUAUGUCGUCGACGACAUAAUUUUAUCGUCGAUGAUGUAUCGCGAUUUACUUCUGCAGCAUAUAAUUUUGUGUGUGUGCAUUGGUAUAAUCUUGAAACGUGACGAUUAUGUUGAUUGUUGGUUUUCCAUUUUUUCGACGACUGGUUUGUUGCAGAUGGCUUUCCAUCUCUCGUAUGUCCUAGGUGUGGUCGAAUUUACUCCGUGCCAUCGACACUUGAACGUCAUCUUAAGUACGAAUGUGGCGUUGCUAAGCAAUUCGAAUGCGGUGUUUGUCAUCGGAGGUUCUCCAGGAGAGACGUACUUCGCAACCAUCAGAAAGCUCUUGCUCAUUAGGGACUAGUGCAAGUGCCGCGUAGUGUGAAAAAUCGAUCGCUAGAACUGAUUUUUAUCAACUUUGCUUCAAAUUGCUUAUUUCUGAUGUUUUCCCCCGAUGGGAAACUGUCGGACUGAGCGAAGCUUGGUUUUUCGAAUAGUGGACCCGAUUUUUCAUUGGUGUAUUGGAAUUAUUUUCCGUCGACCAAUGAAAAAUUGGGUUGGGAGUGGAGGUGGGACUAUUCGAAUUUCAUUUCAUUAUUUUCUAAAUCCACCGGUGGUAAAUUUCAUUUUGUCAUUAAUCAUUUCUCCCAAUUCCCUUAUCCCUUUAUCAAACAAUGCAUUGCGAUGACAGACAGCCCCAGGGAUGGAAUGGAGCCCAGCAGCCAGCAUCGGAAUUGGUGGACGUGGCCUGACAGCCAAAAAGAGAUCUCUCGUUGCAGCACCGUUGGCCAACGUGAAAUAAAUAAAAGAAAAUGUAAAACAAUGAUUGAAUAAAAUGCAGAUUUUUGAAAUGUUGCUUUUGUCUCUUCCCGUUUCCAGAAAAUUAGAAGGCCAUUUAAAAAGAGACAAAUGGUUUCAUGCCCAAAAUGACGUCGACUUCACACGUGGCUUUCCUUGUGGCAACUGUGGUAAGCUGUACAAGCAUCGAGGAAACAUGCGUCGGCACAUGGUUUACGAGUGCGGCAAACAAGCACGUUUCCAGUGC